rnacentral:rRNA from 1 species
AGAGUUUGAUCAUGGCUCAGAACGAACGCUGGCGGCGUGGAUAAGACAUGCAAGUCGAGCGCUGAUCACAGGGUAGCAAUAUUCUGUGGUUGGAGCGGCGCAAGGGUGCGUAACACGUGGGUAAUCUGCCAUGAAGUUUGGAAUAACUUGCUGAAAGGCGAGCUAAUACCGGAUGUGACGAUUGGGAGGCAUCUCCUGAUCUUCAAAGCUGGGGACCGUAAGGCCUGGCGCUUCAUGAUGAGCCCGCGGCCUAUCAGCUAGUUGGUGAGGUAACGGCUCACCAAGGCUAAGACGGGUAGCUGGUCUGAGAGGACGACCAGCCACACUGGAACUGAGACACGGUCCAGACACCUACGGGUGGCAGCAGUCGAGAAUUUUUCACAAUGGGCGCAAGCCUGAUGGAGCGACGCCGCGUGGGGGAUGAAUGGCUUCGGCCCGUAAACCCCUGUCAUUUGCGAACAAUUCGGUUCAAUUAACACCUGAACCGUUGAUAGUAGCGAAAGAGGAAGGGACGGCUAACUCUGUGCCAGCAGCCGCGGUAAUACAGAGGUCCCAAGCGUUGUUCGGAUUCACUGGGCGUAAAGGGUGCGUAGGUGGCAAGGAAAGUCGGAUGUGAAAUCUCGGAGCUCAACUCCGAAACUGCAUUGGAAACUACCUGGCUUGAGGGUUGGAGGGGGGACUGGAAUUCUCGGUGUAGCAGUGAAAUGCGUAGAUAUCGAGAGGAACACCAGUGGCGAAGGCGAGUCCCUGGACAACUCCUGACACUGAGGCACGAAAGCUAGGGGAGCAAACAGGAUUAGAUACCCUAGUAGUCC